UACGUAGGGGGCGAGCGUUGUCCGAAGUUACUGGGCGUAAAGAGCGCGUAGGCGGGUCUUUAAGUGAGUGGUGAAAGGUUAGGGCUCAACCCUAACACUGCCUUUCAUACUGGAGACCUUGAGUGCGGGAGAGGCGAGUGGAAUGGUCGGUGUAGCGGUGAGAUGCGUAGAUAUCGAUCGGAACACCCAUGGCGAAGGCAGCUCGCUGGCCUGCAACUGACGCUGAGGCGCGAAAGCGUGGGGAGCAAACAGG
rnacentral:rRNA from 1 species